rnacentral:rRNA from 1 species
UACGUAGGGCGCAAGCGUUGUCCGGAAUUAUUGGGCGUAAAGAGCUCGUAGGCGGCCUGUUGCGUCCGCUGUGAAAUCCCGGGGCUCAACCCCGGGACUGCGUCCGAUACUUCCGAGCUGGAGGUAGGUAGGGGAGAUCGGAAUUCCUGGUGUAGCGGUGAAAUGCGCAGAUAUCAGGAGGAACACCGGUGGCGAAGGCGGAUCUCUGGGCCUUACCUGACGCUGAGGCGCGAAAGCUAGGGGAGCGAACAGG